UACGGAAGGGGCAAGCGUUGUUCGGAAUCAUUGGGCGUAAAGGGCGCGUAGGCGGUCACGUAUGUCUGCUGUGAAAGCGCACGGCUCAACCGUGUGAAGUCGGUAGAAAACUGCGGGACUUGAGGCUGGGAGAGGUUGGUGGAAUUCCCUGUGUAGCGGUGAAAUGCGUAGAUAUAGGGGAGAACACUCGUGGCGAAGGCGGCCAGCUGGACCAGCCCUGACGCUGAGGCGCGACAGCGUGGGGAGCAAACAGG
rnacentral:rRNA from 1 species